GAUUUGGCUAGUUUUCGAUUUGGUGGGUUCUGGUCUUCUGGAUCGCGACGGAGGCUAGGGUUCUUCUCCUGCCGAGGCGAGCUGGCGAGGGGAUAUUUGACCCAAUGACCCUUCUUACUUGGGAAAUUGCUCCGAACGGACUGUUAAUUCUUCAACUGGAAUGGAGGUACAUCUUGGUCUCAGGACAACCCCCGACGAGCUUGCCAUGGCCGUCGUCAGCUUCUACUCUGCUGAUCCUCCCUUCUCGCCUCCGCUGAUACUCGUUUCCGCUAUCACCGACCAAUCACAGCCUUGAGGGAUCCCUUGAAUCACACCCGAAGUCGACCCGCUCCAUGAGUUCCCGGCGAGAUGCCCGUCGGGAGGUAAAAGCGUCGUGGUGUUGUACACCACAUGUCCAUGGACAGCGGCCUCCGCGAGCAGCUUUGGGUCGCCGCUGGCAAGAGGGUCGUGGUCCCGCCUCACCUUUCAUCUACCACCCAGUAAAAUGAUCGACGCCCGUAUUUCCCGGAAGAGUAAAAUACACUCAUGGUCACUGAACUUGGAUUGAAAACUCAAUUUAGUCAUUGUAAUAUGGAAAUCACGACUUAGUUUUUGAACUAGACGAAAUGUCUCAAUUUAGUCAUUGUGCCUGUAUUCCUAUCGUAUUUAUACCUCGGCCUUGACACCUAAGCAUCCAGUUUUGCAUUUUAGCCCCUGAAAAAACACAACGAGGGAUCUGGUAGAUGGCCUAACGCUUGCUCUGAUGCGGUUCUCAGGUCCUCAUCGUUUUUUUUUUCAAGGACGACGAGGGAACCCUUGUCGUAUCUUUUUUCAGGGACCAAAAUACAAAACGGGAUGAUGAGCUAUCAAGGCCAGGCACAAAUACGAUACGAAUACGAACGUAGUGACCGUACAUAUGACAUUACGUCAAGUUCAAAAACCAUAAGUCAUGAUUUAUAUAAUAUACACAGACUAAAUUUAGUUUUCAAUCAAAUUCAGUAGUACCUUCAGCCUGAAUUAUUUGUCACUGAUUUAGUACAUCUUUGUACUCCUUCCAGCCGAAAUUAUCUCAGAUUUAGUAGAAUAGUAAUUCGACCGUAGGGGAGUACUAGAUGUUGACAAGUAAUAUGGAUCGGAGAAGGUACUGAAUACUCCAAUACUCCAUUUGGUUCUCACCCGGUUUUCAGUCUAAAACGGCCGGAAAGUUUUACGGAGGUGAGGAGGCCCGUAAAAGUUUCGGGGUCAGACAAAAGAAGGGCACCAGGGAGAGAGCGGGGCGACCACCACAACGCUAGAAAACGCGCUGCCGGUGACGGGAGCGGGAUCGGCAGCGCGAUGCGUGGGCGACUGGAGAGGGUUCGGCGGCGGUGACUGGUGCGUGUCCAGGCAUUCCAGCGGCGGUGGCCACAGGCUAGGAUAGCUUUCCCGCAAGCUGCCCGGCCUCCUCUGACUCGCCCCGACAUCCCCGACGCCAGGCCAAGACACUGCCGCGACCUCACCGACGCCAGGCCAAGGACGCUGCCGCUACAUCGCGCAACUAAGCCAUGUGCGGGCGGCGGACCAUAUGUGGAGCUCGGAUAUGGCGCGGUGCAAUGUGGCGGCUCUAUAUCGCGUCUCCAUGUGGCUGCGCCACGUGAAGCUCCCGACUCACAUUUCAUGCCUGCUGCAUAUGACGCCCUCCCUGCACCUCAGGCCAUGGACAUGGCGUUGCCGCCACAUGGAGACAGCGUGCUCUCUCUCUCUCUCUGAUUUCUCUCUAUGCACUGUAGAUCACGGGUACAAUAUGCUCGGGAGUAACUGAAACUUUCCAGUGAGGAAAAUUGUAUUGGUUUAAAGAACUCUUUCUUGCUGCUAGUUCAAUGGAUAUUGUCGAAAUGGUCUACGUAUUUGCAAAUUGAAGUUUUGAUCAGACUAUUUUUUCUGUCUUCAGAUUUAUUGUUGUAAUUUUCGGAUGGAAAAUAAUUAAAAUUUCUAAUUUUGUGUUUUCAUAUUUA